AGUAAUCUGGGUGUAGCUUAUUUUGACUCUUCCUUUGAUUAAACAAUUCAGACCCUUGGCUCUUAUUGUUCUUGCUGGUGUGGUAUGUUCACGGCUGAAAAGAUGGUCAGAAGGGGAAAGGAGGAAGUGAGAAGAAAGAAACAGGGAAAUGACAGAGUGUUGCUCAGUUACCCAGGCUGGAGUGCAAUGGCAUGAUCUUGGCUCACUGCAGCCUCCACCUCCUGGGUUCAAGCGGUUCUCGUGCCUCAGUCUCCCAAGUAGCUGGGAUUACAGGCUGGAGUGCGAUGGCAUGAUCUUGGCUCACGGCAAACUCCGCCUCCCUGGUUCAAGUGAUUCUCCUGCCUCAGCCUCCCGAGUAGCCGGGAUUACAGGCAUGUGCCACCAUGCCCCGUUGGCCAGGCUGGUCUCGAACACCUUACCUCAGGUGAUCCUCCCACCUUUGGGAUUACAGACCCUGCAUGUGAUGGAUCAGCUGACACCAUCCAGAUCGGUAAACUGGUUCAUCUGAUCUUGUGCCCUCCACCCAGGAACUGACUCAGCGCAAGAAGACAGCUUCGACUCCUUGUGAUUUCAUCCCUAACCAAUCAGCACUCCUGGCUCACUGGCUUCCCCCAACCCACCAAAUUGUCCUUAAAAACUCUGCUCUCCAAACGCUGGGGGAGACUGAUUUGAGUAAUAAUAAAACCCUGGUCUCCUGCA
rnacentral:lncRNA from 1 species